UUAAUUGAAACCAAAAAAGAGGUAAAUUACUGUUAAUAAUUAAAUUGAGAAAUUUUCUCCAAUUAAA
rnacentral:tRNA from 1 species